UUUCCGUAGGUGAACCUGCGGAAGGAUCAUUAUUGUAUAACAAAAGUGCGAGGGACUUCGAUGACACCAACAGUUGUGCCCGCACGCGUCCCCGCACUCGAUUCAGUCCCACCCCUCUCUGCACCACGGCGGGGGUCCACCAUCCGCCUGUUCGUGCGCGUGCUUAUGUUUUCUCACCACCUUUUAUUGCAGUCUAGUCUGAGUUUUAUGUUUUUUAGGUCACAACUUCAAUCAAACUUUCAACAACGGAUCUCUUCGCUCUAGCAUCGAGCAGAAACG
rnacentral:misc_RNA from 1 species